GAUGAAGAACGUAGCGAAAUGCGAUAAGUAAUGUGAAUUGCAGAAUUCAGUGAAUCAACGAAUCUUUGAACGCACAUUGCGCCCCCUGGUAUUCCGGGGGGCAUGCCUGUUCGAGCGUCAUUUCACCACUCAAGCCUCGCUUGGUAUUGGGCAACGCGGUCCGCCGCGUGCCUCAAAUCGACCGGCUGGGUCUUCUGUCCCCUAAGCGUUGUGGAAACUAUUCGCUAAAGGGUGUUCGGGAGGCUACGCCGUAAAACAACCCCAUUUCUAAGGUUGACCUCGGAUCAGGUAGGGAUACCCGCUGAACUUAAGCAUAUCAAUAAGCGGAGGA
rnacentral:misc_RNA from 1 species